rnacentral:rRNA from 1 species
GACGAACGCUGGCGGCGUGCCUAAUACAUGCAAGUAGAACGCAGUUGCAAACGGGUGAGUACCGCGUAGGUAACUGCCUCAUAGCGGGGGAUUACUAUUGGAAACGAUAGCUAAUACCGCAUACUUUGAGAUGGCCCUGCGUUGUUUUAGCUAGUUGGUGAGGUAAAGGCGCAACAAGGCGACGAUACAUACCCGACCUGAGAGGGUGCUCGGCCAAACUGGGACUGAGAGACGGCCGAGACUCCUAGGGGAGGCAGCAGUAGGGAAUCUUCGGCGAUGGACGGAAGUCGGACCGAGGAACGACGCGGGAGUGAAGAAGGUUUUCGGAUCGUAAAGCUCUGUUGUUAGAGAAGCGGUACCUAACCAGAAAGGGACGGCUAACUACGUGCCAGCCGCCGCGGUAAUAC